rnacentral:rRNA from 1 species
CCUAACACAUGCAAGUCGAACGGUAACAGGAAACAGCUUGCUGUUUCGCUGACGAGUGGCGGACGGGUGAGUAAUGUCUGGGAAACUGCCUGAUGGAGGGGGAUAACUACUGGAAAAGGUAGCUAAUACCGCAUAACGUCGCAAGACCAAAGAGGGGGACCUUCGGGCCUCUUGCCAUCGGAUGUGCCCAGAUGGGAUUAGCUAGUAGGUGGGGUAACGGCUCACCUAGGCGACGAUCCCUAGCUGGUCUGAGAGGAUGGCCAGCCACACUGGAACUGAGACACGGUCCAGACUCCUACGGGAGGCAGCAGUGGGGAAUAUUGCACAAUGGGCGCAAGCCUGAUGCAGCCACGCCGCGUGUAUGAAGAAGGCCUUCGGGUUGUAAAGACUUUCAGCGGGGA